rnacentral:lncRNA from 1 species
UCACCAACAAAAGUCAAUCGAAAAACUACCUGACGAAUCUCCGGCAAUAAAGUGACGGCUGUCGAACCCGAGGGCGUAACGACAGCAACACCUUCCACCCAACCGGCAACGCUUUCACAAACAGCGCAGCAUCGACAUACUUCCUCCGCCUCCUAGUACUCCCCCACCGGCCGUCCAAACCGUUCAAAAACCCUAGAAACUCAUCCUCCCUCGCCAUCCCCUCAGUCAUCCUAUUCAAUCUAGCUUCAAACACACCAUCAGCCUCACACACCAAAUAUUUCAAAUCAAUCAUCUCUCCAUUCACAUCAACAAAAUCUAAACCCUUAUAUUCACUCUCAUUCUCCACUUUCCUCUUCCUCUUCCUCUUCUUCACUCCGCUAGGGUUUUCCUCCACCGCCACCACCGGAACCGCCGUGCCUCUGCUAUCGUACGCCGGAGCAGCCGAUGCUCUGCUACCGUGCGCCGGAACCGCUGUGCCUCUGCUAUCGUACGCCUCUCCGUCCGUAACUAAUCUCCGUAACGAAUUCAAAAUCAACUUGUUCUCCCUCACCUGUACGUCAGCGUCGCCGUCGCUGACGUCAUCGGGAACGCGACGGCGAUAUCCACGGCGGUAGGAGAAGGCGUAAAUUCUCCUCGGAGUGGUGUUAACGGCGGCGGUUGAGCCGGUAUACCGGGAAUCGGAGUCGACUUUCUUUACGACGUCGUUUCCUUCGUCAGGACCGUCGGAUGAAGAGCGAGAAAUUAACGGCGGCGGUUGAGCCGGUAUACCGGGAAUCGGAGUCGACUUUCUUUACGACGUCGUUUCCUUCGUCAGGACCGUCGGAUGAAGAGCGAGAAAGUGCGUAAAGCUCCCACUGAGAGAAUUUCUUCAUAUCUAUACUCACACACGAGUUGAAGUUCAAUGCCGGAUUACUACCGUUACCGUUACCGUUACCGUCAAGUGAUGGUUGAUGAGUGUUUUGAAUCGGCAUUUCGGAGUUUGUUACACCGGCGAUGGUGAAAUGAGGUGGUGUGGAUGAUCGGAAUGGAGGAGGAAUUCAGGCGGUGAGUUGGCCGGAGAAAUAAUAAGAGUGAAAGUUGGUGAUGACACAAGAAAGAGAGACAAGAGUAUGUAACCGAUGUCUUUUUCAGCUUGAUUUCCACGUGUCUGGUCAUACUCAUGUAAUCCUUGUUUUCAUUAUCAUUUUUUAUUUUUUUGAAAAGUCAUUAACAGAAAGAUCAUUAUUACUUAGGUU